UACAGAGGGGGCAAGCGUUGUUCGGAAUUACUGGGCGUAAAGGGCGCGUAGGCGGCCGCCUAAGUCAGACGUGAAAUCCCUCGGCUCAACCGGGGAACUGCGUCUGAUACUGGGUGGCUUGAAUCCGGGAGAGGGAUGCGGAAUUCCAGGUGUAGCGGUGAAAUGCGUAGAUAUCUGAAGGAACAUCAGUGGCGAAGGCGGGUCUCUGGGCCGAUACUGGACGCUGAGGAGCGAAAGCGUGGGGAGCGAACAGG
rnacentral:rRNA from 1 species